rnacentral:misc_RNA from 1 species
ACAUUUGGUUGUAAACUUCUUGCUUCAAGGUCCAUUUUGCGAAUCAAAGAUUCAGCUUCCUCCAGCCCAGUUCUAACUUCAGAAAGCUUUUGCUUCUUUUGCUCUCCAUCAAGAGCACCAGCUGCGGUACACUUUCUGGAAAGAUUAGAGGAGAGCUCGCAGUAUUGACGCUCGUAUCCUUCAAAUACUUCACUCAUUCUUCCAAUUUCUAAAUAAAAAAGGUCGAUCUAGAAACUUGUAAACGUUCAGUACCGAUGAUCCUCAAAUACAAACUAGAUCCUUGGAAAAACUAAUUGAAAUAGAAACUAAAUGUAUAUAAGAGAACCUGGUAUGAUCGGCGGUGGAGAUAGCUUGUGGGACCCCGCUAGGUGGAGGAGGGAGGUGGUAGGGGUGAUUUCGUGAAAUUCUAAAAGAGCAAACGACAGUGCCGGUGGUCGUGGGGGCAAGAGCAAGAGUGGUG